AGGAUGAACGCUGGCGGCGUGCCUAAUACAUGCAAGUCGAGCGAACAGAUGAGAAGCUUGCUUCUCUGAUGUUAGCGGCGGACGGGUGAGUAACACGUGGGUAACCUACCUAUAAGACUGGGAUAACUCCGGGAAACCGGGGCUAAUACCGGAUAAUAUUUUGAACCGCAUGGUUCAAUAGUGAAAGACGGUUUCGCUGUCACUUAUAGAUGGACCCGCGCCGUAUUAGCUAGUUGGUAAGGUAACGGCUUACCAAGGCGACGAUACGUAGCCGACCUGAGAGGGUGAUCGGCCACACUGGAACUGAGACACGGUCCAGACUCCUACGGGAGGCAGCAGUAGGGAAUCUUCCGCAAUGGGCGAAAGCCUGACGGAGCAACGCCGCGUGAGUGAUGAAGGUCUUCGGAUCGUAAAACUCUGUUGUUAGGGAAGAACAAAUUUG
rnacentral:rRNA from 1 species